AUGGCUGAUUUCUUCAAUUAUCUCCCCUUGAUAGUGACUCAGCUGGGUUCUUCUUGCAAGAGAAAAGAUGCAUUACUUGCAAAGCAUCAUGAUGAUUUGAUGAAAUUGAUGGAGCAUGGUAAGAUCUCAGCUGGAACUGGGUUACAUCAAGAAACUGACCUAUCUAGACCAGGAGCUACUCGUUGGGGCUCACAUCUUAGAACCUUGCUUCGUAUUCACGCAAUGUGGAAUGCAGUAGUCGAUGUGCUAGCGGAUUAG
rnacentral:rRNA from 1 species